rnacentral:sRNA from 1 species
UACUUCACCGAACGGGGAAGGAUGAGAAGCUUCGACUAAGGUUCGAUUCGAGCGCCAGCGAGAAAGCGUUGCCGCAGGCAACGACCCGAAGGG